UCCUGCCAGCACAUAGUACCCUAAAAAUAACAGUAAUAUGAAUAUUGAGUACUCCUGCCCUGAGAGCAGUGCAUAGUUUAGUAAAAUAACGGUAAUAUGAAUAUUGAGUACUCCUGCCCGGAGAGCAGCACAUAAUUUAGUAAAAUAACAGUAAUAUGAAUAUUGAGUACUUCUGCCCUGAGAGCAGCGCAUAGUUGAGUAAAAUAACAGUAAUAUGAAGAUUGAGUACUCCUGCCCUGAGAGCAGCGCAUAGUUUAGUAAAAUAACAGUAAUAUGAAUAUUGAGUGCUCCUGCCCUGAGAGCAGUGCGUAGUUUAUUAAAAUAAGAGUAAUAUGAAUAUUGAGUACUCCUGCCCUGAGAGCAGCACAUAGUUUAGUAAAAUAACAGUAAUAUGAAUAUUGAGUACUCCUGCCCUGAGAGCAGCACAUAGUUUAUUAAAAUAACAGUAAUAUGAAUAUUGAGUGCUCCUGCCCUGAGAGCAGCACAUAGUUUAUUAAAAUAACAGUAAUAUGAAUAUUGAGUACUCCUGCCCUGAGAGCAGUGCAUAGUUUAUAAAAAUAACAGUAAUAUGAAUAUUGAGUACUCCUGCCCUGAGAGCAGCACAUAGUUU
ensembl:lncRNA